UACGUAGGGUGCAAGCGUUAAUCGGAAUUACUGGGCGUAAAGCGUGCGCAGGCGGUGAUGUAAGACAGUUGUGAAAUCCCCGGGCUCAACCUGGGAACUGCAUCUGUGACUGCAUCGCUGGAGUGCGGCAGAGGGGGAUGGAAUUCCGCGUGUAGCAGUGAAAUGCGUAGAUAUGCGGAGGAACACCGAUGGCGAAGGCAAUCCCCUGGGCCUGCACUGACGCUCAUGCACGAAAGCGUGGGGAGCAA
rnacentral:rRNA from 1 species